CAACAACAACAACAACAACAAAACCCUGAACAAUUUUGACAAAUCUGCAUAAUAACUGUUUAUACUGGAGAUUUAUUUUGAUGGCUAAUUGCUGUAUUUGAAAUAUCUGUAAUUGUUAUGAGGUUUCCAAAUACGUGAUGAACAACAUGCAAAUGGCUGCAGUUUCCAACUACAGAAAUUUAUGUAGGAGUGAAGUAUUUCUUACAAGAGUCAGUCAGCUGUAGAGAUUGAUGAGCUAAACUACUAUGGUAAAAAUAAAUACAGCUAGGUAGGAAUUACAGCUGGUAUUGUUCUGUAAUGUGGAGUUAACAAAUCGGCAGUUGAAUGAAAGGAAUCUAAAUGCUAGAUAGUCUUUUUGUUACCUUCUUACUUUGGCUGCGUGUAUUUGCAGAGAGUUUUUGUAGCUUUAUUUAACACCCACAGAAGACAAUGUCAGACUUUCCAUUCUCUUUAAAGGCUUCAGUUCCCCGGCACAGGGCUCGCUGCUCAUUACAACAGCCCUGACUAGAAGCUCACGGGGCGAGGAGGACGACGAUGCCUCAUUCCCAGUGAAGGGGAAGGGGUGCAGAGCCCGUGCUGCCUCUGGAGUAUUUGAAGACCCUCAGUAGGGAUUAGAGCUCCACCGUACAACAGAACAUCAACAUCUGGAAAAUCACAGUAAAGCAUACAGAAUGAUAUUCCUGAAAGCUGAAAUAAAUAGCAAUUCAGCAAGACCUUUAAUAUGAUCUAUGCUGCUUGAGAUCACUGUACUAUUGGCAAAGGACUAUUGGUUCGCCUGCAUGUUUCCCUGUGCUGUGGAUCUCAGCAGAUGCUCUCUUCUGCCAUCCUCACCCUCUGAAUCUCUAUAGACAUAGAACAUUUUUAGAGUGACUGAAGGAAUACUAGCCACAGUUUUUAUAACAUUCUGGCUGCAGCUUUGCAUGUUUUUUCUUCCUACUUCAGGAAAAAUAUAUUAAACUCUACUAGCCUCAACAGUCAAAGGUGUUUCUUGUGCCAACAGCCUGUGUGGAGGAAUACCAGUUCUGCCCAGAACUACGGAGCAUGUUCAGUCCACAAUUACAUGUGUCUAUAACAGAUAGCUUUCUGAAAGGAACAACUAAGGGAAAAAAAAAUACCUCUCCAUAUGGACAAACUAUAGAAAUGACUGUCAGUAAGGUAACAAGUGAACAUACAUUAAUUGAGAGUGCCCAAAUAAUAUUCUCCAAAAGCUACUGACGCAGGACAAAGAAGAGAAAAGUUCCUGUCUGUAUGGAAAGCACAAGGGGAAUAGACAAAAAAAUAGUUCACAGAGAAUAACAAAGAAAACAUGAAGAUAAAGUGGGCAAGACAUCAAAAUCUGUGAAGAAUAUUUACAAGUAUAACACAUAGAUAACAAUAUGCAAAAGCAAACCUGUGAGAAAACCUAUGGAGAAUACUGUAAUGAAAAAUGCCCUAUCUCUAGGUUAAUUAUAGCCUGAAAAACAUUAUGUCAGAGGAUGCAGACAAGAAAAAAGAAGGCAAGCAAUUCAUCACACUGGGGACAGAAGCAAUUAGUUGAAGAAUGAGACUUUGCAUAAAUGUAACUAGCUGAAAAAAAAAAAAAAAAAAAGAUUUGUCAAGUUUGAUGUAACACUAGCUAUAAAGACAAGUUGGCAGAAGAAAAACAAGUAAUUGAAGGCCAAAUAGAGAGUCAUGUACGGGCAACUUCACUAGCCUGAAACACUAGCUUUUUUAAUAAAAAAAAUGUAAUUUUACUGAGGAUGUACUACUAUCCAUACGUAGCCAAGCAAGAAAAAUACACAGCCUGAAAUUUCAAGCGUACCAGAAAACAAAGGGGCCAUCACUUUCAAGUAAAACUGCUGCAGUAUUUAUGUGAAGGUCUGUGACACCCUCUAGCCAUAUUAUACCUAAGGAAGGAUACAAUGCUUCAACAAACACAGCAUCUUCCUUUAAGUGUUCAGAGGGUUUCUGGGAAAAAAAAAAAAAAAAAAGACCAAAGCCCAAACCAAAUAAAACCAAAGACAACAACAAAAUAGAAACCAGCAAGCAAUGAAACAAAAUGGAAAAGAAAACUUCAAGUCAGGCACCCCACGUUGAAUGAACAGCAUGACAGUCUACAAGAAAGCUCUAUUUUCUAAAAUCUCAGCAAUUUAUAUAUUAGGUUCCCACUGAGUAAUUACAAUAUGAAAUAUUAGUUCAUUAUAAUAUGUUCAGCAGGUGAAUGUAUUUAUGUAGUCAAUUCUUAUUGCCAAAGGUAAAUAUUGGGUAAUAAUACUCCAUAAAACAAGUAAUUAAUUGAUACUUGACAGGAGCUUUGGAAAUUUUCUAUAUACAAAUGCUGAGAAUACAAUUUGCACUCUAUUAAGAUAACUGAUCUCAAAGUGUGUCAGAAGCCUCACAAAUAGACUGUAAAUCAAUGUACAACAGAUGUUUCAAAAAUAAAAUGUG
rnacentral:lncRNA from 1 species